rnacentral:rRNA from 1 species
UACGUAGGGUGCGAGCGUUGUCCGGAAUUAUUGGGCGUAAAGGGCUCGUAGGCGGUUUGUCGCGUCGGGAGUGAAAACUCAGGGCUUAACCCUGAGCCUGCUUCCGAUACGGGCAGACUAGAGGUAUGCAGGGGAGAACGGAAUUCCUGGUGUAGCGGUGAAAUGCGCAGAUAUCAGGAGGAACACCGGUGGCGAAGGCGGUUCUCUGGGCAUUGCCUGACGCUGAGGAGCGAAAGUGUGGGGAGCGAACAGG